UGGGGAAUUUUGGACAAUGGACGCAAGUCUGACCCAGCCAUGCCGCGUGCGGGAAGAAGGCCUUCGGGUUGUAAACCGCUUUUGUCAGGGAAGAAACGAGUUUCUCUAAUACAGAGACUUAAUGACGGUACCUGAAGAAUAAGCACCGGCUAACUACGUGCCAGCAGCCGCGGUAAUACGUAGGGUGCGAGCGUUAAUCGGAAUUACUGGGCGUAAAGCGUGCGCAGGCGGUGAUGUAAGACAGAUGUGAAAUCCCCGGGCUCAACCUGGGACCUGCAUUUGUGACUGUAUAGCUAGAGUACGGUAGAGGGGGAUGGAAUUCCGCGUGUAGCAGUGAAAUGCGUAGAUAUGCGGAGGAACACCGAUGGCGAAGGCAAUCCCCUGGACCUGUACUGACGCUCAUGCACGAAAGCGUGGGGAGCAAACA
rnacentral:rRNA from 1 species